rnacentral:rRNA from 1 species
CCUACGGGGGGCAGCAGUGAGGAAUAUUGGUCAAUGGCCGGAAGGCUGAACCAGCCAAGCCGCGUGAAGGACGAAGGUGCCAAGCAUUGUAAACUUCUUUUGCCAAGGGACAAAAUCAGGCUCGAGAGCCUGACCGAGGGUACUUGAAGAAAAAGCAUCGCCAAACUCCGUGCCAGCAGCCGCGGUAAUACGGAGGAUGCGAGCGUUAUCCGGAUUUAUUGGGGUUAAAGGGUGCGUAGGCGGACUGUUAAGUCAGCGGUAAAAGCCCGGGGCUAAACCCCGGCGAGCCGUUGAAACUGGCUGUCUGGAGAGGGCGAGAGGAAUGUGGAAUGCGCGGUGUAGCGGUGAAAUGCGUAGAUAUUGGGAAGAACUCCGGUUGCGAAGGCGGCAUACCGGCGGCGAUCUGACGCUGAGGCACGAAAGCGUGGGUAUCGAACAGGAUUAGAUACCCUGGUAGUC